rnacentral:rRNA from 1 species
GGGCGUAAGCGCACGCAGGCGGUUUGUUAAGCUAGAUGUGAAAGCCCCGGGCUCAACCUGGGAUGGUCAUUUAGAACUGGCAGACUAGAGUCUUGGAGAGGGGAGUGGAAUUCCAGGUGUAGCGGUGAAAUGCGUAGAUAUCUGGAGGAACAUCAGUGGCGAAGGCGACUCCCUGGCCAAAGACUGACGCUCAUGUGCGAAAGUGUGGGUAGCGAACAGGAUUAGAUAC